rnacentral:rRNA from 1 species
GAAGAACCUUACCACCCCUUGACAUCCUCGGAACUGCCUGGAGACAGGCAGGUGCCUUCGGGAACCGAAUGACAGGUGCUGCAUGGCUGUCGUCAGCUCGUGUCGUGAGAUGUUGGGUUAAGUCCCGUAACGAGCGCAACCCUUGUCCUUAUUUGCCAGCGGGUCAGGCCGGGAACUCUAGGGAGACUGCCGGUGACAAACCGGAGGAAGGUGGGGAUGACGUCAAGUCAUCAUGGCCCUCACGGGGUGGGCUACAAACGUGCUACAAUGGGCGGCACAGAGGGCUGCGAACCAGCAAUGGCAAGCGAAUCCCAAAAAACCGCUCGUAGUCCGGAUAGGAGUCUGCAACUCGACUCCUUGAAGUCGGAAUCGCUAGUAAUCGCGAAUCAGA